ACGGGGGGAGCAGGCGUUGUUCGGAUUUACUGGGCGUAAAGGGCGCGUAGGCGGCCACCGCAAGUCACUUGUGAAAUCUCCGGGCUUAACCCGGAAAGGUCAACUGAUACUGCGGGGCUAGAGUGCAGAAGGGGCAACUGGAAUUCUCGGUGUAGCGGUGAAAUGCGUAGAUAUAGGAAGGAACACCAGUGGCGAAGGCGACCACCUGGACUGAUACUGACACUGAGGUGCGAAAGCGUGGGGAGCAAACAGGA
rnacentral:rRNA from 1 species